AGAAGCAUACAGAAAUUGGUGACCAUGGUGUGAAUUCCAUGGUUGACACACAGAAGAAAACCGGUGAUCAGAAUCGUCAUGGGAUGCUCUGGUAUAUACCGAAGGCUCAUGCAGGGAGUGUUACCAAAAUAUCUACCAUACCACAUACCAGCUUUUUUUUUACGGGAAGUAAAGAUGGAGACGUAAAACUUUGGGAUGCUAAGAGUGCAAAACUAGUAUUUCAUUGGCCAAAAUUGCAUGAAAGACACACCUUCUUGCAGCCAAGCUCCCGUGGCUUUGGUGGUGUGGUUCAGGCGGGUGUUACAGAUAUUCAAAUUGUUUCUCAUGGUUUUCUUACU
rnacentral:misc_RNA from 1 species